AUUCACGAAAUGAGUCAAAGUUUCCGUCUCUAGGGCGAAGCGCGCAUGCGCAGCUCUCGCCUGUGUCGCUGUCCACUGCUGUGUGGUGCUGCUCUAUUACUGCUGCGUGGAGCUCUUCCGAGCAGAAUCAUCUAACGCAAACAUGGCGACCCGGACGAUGCAAGCGGCUCGAUGCCCGACAGAUGAGCUGUCACUGACGAACUGUGCAGUUGUGAGUGAGAAAGACUUGCAGUCUGGACAGCAUGUGACUGUGAGGACAACACCCGCCCACAAGUUUGUGUUCACAGUGAAGUGUCACCACUCAGUGCUUCCUGGAACCAUCGCUUUCAGUUUGCCACAGAGGAAAUGGGCAGGCCUGUCCAUCGGACAAGAAAUAGAAGUGGCCAACUACAACUUUGACAAAUCCAAGCAGUGCAUUGGUGCCAUGACCAUUGAGAUUGACUUCCUGCAGAAGAAGAGCACUGACUCCAGUCCCUACGACUCAGACAAAAUGGCUGCUGAGUUUAUUCAGCAUUUCAACAAUCAGGGUUUCUCUGUGGGGCAGCAGCUGGUCUUCAGUUUCUGUGACAAGCUCUUUGGCCUAGUUAUCAAGGGCAUUGAGGCGAUGGACUCCAGCAUACUGAGGGGCGAACCAGAAUCUGGCAAAAAGCAGCAGAUUGAGAUCGGUCUGUUGGUUGGAAACAGUCAAGUGAUUUUUGAAAAAUCCGAGGGCUCAUCUCUUACUCUAGUUGGCAAGGCCAAGACCAAAGAAGCCCGUCAGACGAUCAUUAACCCUGACUGGAACUUUGAGAAAAUGGGCAUCGGUGGUCUAGACAAGGAGUUCUCCGAUAUCUUCCGCAGGGCUUUUGCCUCUCGAGUUUUCCCGCCAGACAUUGUGGAGCAGAUGGGCUGUAAGCAUGUGAAAGGCAUCCUGCUCUUUGGUCCUCCUGGCUGUGGUAAAACACUGAUGGCCAGGCAAAUCGGUAAGAUGCUGAAUGCCAGAGAGCCAAAGAUAGUCAACGGACCAGAGAUCCUCAACAAGUAUGUUGGUGAAUCUGAGGCCAAUAUUAGGAAACUGUUUGCAGAUGCUGAGGAGGAACAGAAAAGGUUGGGUGCUAACAGUGGCCUGCAUAUCAUCAUCUUUGAUGAACUGGAUGCAAUCUGUAAGCAGCGUGGUACAGGUGCCAGCAGCACAGGUGUGCAUGACACUGUGGUCAACCAGCUCCUGUCCAAGAUCGACGGAGUGGAGCAGCUCAACAACAUCCUUGUCAUUGGCAUGACUAACAGGCCUGACCUGAUAGAUGACGCUUUGAUGAGACCUGGCCGAUUUGAAGUAAAGAUGGAAAUCGGUUUGCCGGAUGAAAAUGGCCGUGUUCAGAUCCUGAACAUUCACACAGCGAAGAUGAGAGAGUUUAACCUCCUGUCUGGUGAUGUGGAUGUUAAAGAACUGGCUGCUGAGACCAAGAACUACAGUGGAGCUGAACUGGAGGGCCUGGUCAGAGCUGCCCAAUCUACUGCCAUGAACCGCCACAUUAAGGCCACAUCUACUGUAGAGGUGGACAUGGAGCGAGCAGAAAAGCUGCAAGUCACUCGAACAGAUUUCAUGGGGUCCUUGAAUAACGACAUUAAACCUGCUUUUGGCACCAACCAGGAAGACUAUUCCAGUUACAUCAUGAACGGAAUCAUUAAGUGGGGUGAUCCAGUGACCCGAGUGCUGGAGGACGGCGAGCUGCUGGUGCAGCAGGCUAAGAACAGUGACCGCACCCCACUCGUGUCUGUGCUUCUUGAGGGACCUCCUCACAGUGGAAAGACGGCUCUGGCCGCCAAAAUCUCAGAGGACUCGCAGUUCCCAUUCAUUAAGAUCUGCUCUCCAGACAAGAUGAUUGGCCACUCAGAGAUCUCCAAAUGCCAGGCAAUCAAGAAGGUCUUUGACGAUGCUUACAAGUCUCAGCUGAGCUGUGUUGUGGUUGAUGACAUUGAGCGCCUGUUAGAUUACGUGCCGAUUGGUCCUCGAUUCUCCAACCUGGUUCUUCAGGCCCUGCUGGUUUUGCUGAAGAAGACUCCACCUCAUGGCCGUAAGCUGCUGAUCAUCGGUACCACCAGCCGUAAAGACGUGCUGCAGGAGAUGGAGAUGCUGGAUGCAUUCAGCACCACCAUCCAUGUGCAAAAUAUCUCCAGUGGGGAACAUCUGGUUGAAGCUCUAGAGCUCCUGGGCAGCUUCACAGAUGCUGAGAGAACCACCAUUGCCCAGAAUGUGAAAGGAAAAAGAGUGUGGAUUGGCAUUAAAAAGCUUCUCAUGCUUAUUGAGAUGUCUCUACAGAUGGAUCAGGCAUACAGAGUCAGCAAGUUCCUCUCUCUACUCAAAAACGAAGGAGCGCUGGAUGAAAACAAUCACAUCCGAAUUUAACACUGCUGGUGAAAACUGAUGAUGGCAGCUAUCAAAGUCACAGAGUCUGUGUGCCAGAGCUUGUCUGUAAAUUGGACUAUACCCAAACACCAAGGGGCCGAGAGAUCGUGGUUUCUACGAGUAACAGAGGACAGGAGAGACGUUCCUCCCAACUGCAUGUUCCCCUGGCAACUAUGAGCAAACGACACCUAAACGACACCCUCACAAUACAGAUAACCUGACGGAGGUCACACAGACACCCCUCAUAUCAAACCAUUAGCAAAUAUCGUCUUGUGCAAUGUGUAAUAUUUCUGUACCCUGUUUGUUUACAUGGAUAUCCCUUUCAAUCUACUCAAAGCCAUGAAGAUGUAAAAAAAAAUCUGAUUAAAAAACAUGUAUAUAUGCUGCUGGAGACAGAACAUAUAUAGAAUAUCUAUAUCAUGCAAUUUAUGAAUCUCUUAAGUAGGAUAUAAGAAGGCUGUUGGUGUGUGUGUAUAUACAGUAGUGAAAAUGAGCCGUGCUGUCCGUAGUGUGCAUACGCUGAAUCCUUCCUUUGUGAUUGUGUUGUGGUAACACAAGAAAACAAUAUAGAUCACAGUGUUACUUGAUAUUGUACAUAGGCUCAAAAUAUGAUAAUUCGAUUUGUUUCAGUUUUAUGUACAUUCAGUUUACAGUGUUAGAGCUGUUAAUAUAUAGUAUAUCCAUGUAAACUAGUGUUGCAGAAGCCAGCACAUUGAGAACAACCUUGAUCAGUUGUACAGUGGAUUGAUAAUCUGUCGUCACUACAUGAGUGUCUGUCGGUGUGUGUGUGUGUGUGUGUGUGUGUGUGUGUGUGUGUGUGUGUGUGUGUUUGGUUGAGUGCAUAAACAAAAGGCUACAGAUCAGCUUUAGAGUGAGUUAGUUUAUGUGGCUGUAUUUAUCUGUGUAAGUGUAGUGUGUGUGUAGAUAUUGGUUUUAUGUUGUUUUAUGUAUUAAUUUUUGCCUGCCCAUUCAUUUAUAUGGUUUCUGUGACCAGUGUUCAAUGUCCAGAGCUCUUUGAUCUGUUAUGACUAUUGGAGAUGUGCGGCCCAGAUGCAAAAUUGUGUUACUGCAAUAAAAAAAAAGGCUUUCAAAAGGA